rnacentral:lncRNA from 1 species
UAAAAAUUAUAUUCCAAUAUUUCCACUUUUCCCACUUCUUUUCUACUUUUCCCACUUCUUUUACUUCUGAUUUUCAUUUCUAACUACUUAAAAAAAAAAAAAAAAAAAAAAAAAAAAAAAUUCUCCAACUUCCAACUUCCGACAUUUCUUCCGACCUCUCUUCCGACUACCUCAACUUCCUCCCUCCAACAAGGUAAACAUUUUCAACAAGGUAUAUUUCCAGAACCGGCGAGGUGCUGGGCGAGUUCCCAGCACCCAUGCGUCGUCCUAUGGACGACGCAUUAAAUUUCCAGAACCGGCGAGGUCGAAUCGACCUCGCCGGUGGGUGCUGACCAAGUUUAGCCAAUCCAAAAUCAGAUAGUUUCGGAUGAAACCCAUCUCCAAGCAAAAUAUUUGAGCAUUUUAAAU